rnacentral:rRNA from 1 species
CCUACGGGCGGCAGCAGUAGGGAAUAUUGCUCAAUGGGGGAAACCCUGAAGCAGCAACGCCGCGUGGAGGAUGAAGGUUUUCGGAUUGUAAACUCCUUUUGUUAGAGAAGAUAAUGACGGUAUCUAACGAAUAAGCACCGGCUAACUCCGUGCCAGCAGCCGCGGUAAUACGGAGGGUGCAAGCGUUACUCGGAAUCACUGGGCGUAAAGAGCGGGUAGGCGGGAUAGCAAGUCAGAUGUGAAAUCCUAGGGCUUAACCAUAGAACUGCAUUUGAAACUGUUAUUCUAGAGUAUGGGAGAGGUAGGUGGAAUUCUUGGUGUAGGGGUAAAAUCCGUAGAGAUCAAGAGGAAUACUCAUUGCGAAGGCGACCUGCUAGAACAUAACUGACGCUGAUGCGCGAAAGCGUGGGGAGCAAACAGGAUUAGAUACCCUUGUAGUC